rnacentral:rRNA from 1 species
AUUCAAACUCCGUUAGAAUCCAGAGUAGCACAGGACACGUGGAAUCCGGUGUGAAUGAGGGAGGACCAUCUCCUAAGCCUAAAUACGACCUAGUGACCGAUAGCGAAUAGUACUGUGAGGGACCGGUGAAAAGAACCCCGGGAGGGGAGUGAAACAGAACCUGAAACCGUGAGCUUACAAGCAGAGAGAGCGCUGAGAGGUGUGAUCUCGUACUUUUUGUAGAACGGGCCGGCGAGUUACGAUAUGAUGCGAGGUUAAGUAGUACAGCUACGAAGCCGAAGCGAAAGCGAAUCUGAAAAGGGUGGAGAGUAUCAUGUCGUAGACCCGAAACCGAAUGACCUAACCAUGAGCAGGUUGAAGCAAUGGUAAAACGUUGUGGAGGACCGAACACACGCCUGUUGAAAUAGUCGGUGAUGACUUGUGGUUAGCGGAGAAAUUCCAAACGAAUUCGGAUAUAGCUGGUUCUCCUCGAAAUAGCUUUAGGGCUAGCCUCGCAUAUAAACCUUGAAGGUAGAGCACUAAAUGGCCUAGGGGGCUUCACAGCUUACCGAAGCUUAUUAAACUCCGAAUGUCAAGGAUUGUGAGUACGGGAGUCAGACAGCGACAGCUAAGUGCCGUUGUCAAAAGGGAAACAGCCCAGAUCUACAGCUAAGGUCCCGAAGUACAGGUUAAGUGGAAAAGGAUGUGACAAUGCAAAGACAACCAGGAUGUUGGCUCAGAAGCAGCCACGCAUUAAAAGAGUGCGUAAUAGCUCACUGGUCGAGUGAUGUUGCGCCGAAAAUUAACGGGGCUCAAACCUGACACCGAAGCUUAGGAAUAUGUGAAUGCAUAUUGGUAGAGGAGCAAUGUAUACGGGCAGAAGCAUAAUCGGAAGGUUGUGUGGACUGUAUAGAAGAGAGAAUGCCGGCAUAAGUAGCGAGAGCGGAGCGAGAAACUCCGCCGUCGAAAGUCUGAGGUUUCCUGGGGAAGGUUCGUCCGCCCAGGGUAAGUCGGGACCUAAGUGGAGGCCGAAAGGCGUACAUGAUGGACAACAGGUAGAUAAUCCUGUACUACCGAGAGAGGAAAUGAAGCAGUGACACGGAAAGAUAGAAGAAGCGCGCGGAUGGAAAAGCGCGUCCAAGCGGUGAGGCUGGCUUGUAGUGAAGUACGCAAGUCAUAAGGCUGGGCCGUGAUGGGGAGUGGACAAAGGAAACGAAGUCUUUGAAUCUACGCCGGCGAGAAAAGCUGCUAAAUAUUUCGAGGUACCCGUACCGCAAACCGACACAGGUAGACGAGAAGAAAAUUCUAAGACGAACGGGAGAACCCUUGUUAAGGAACUCGGCAAAAUUACCCCGUAACUUCGGGAGAAGGGGAACCACUGAAAGGUGGUCGCAGUGAAGAGGCCCAAGCAACUGUUUAUCUAAAACACAGGUUUCUGCUAAGGCGAAAGCCAAGGUAUAGGAGCUGACUCCUGCCCAGUGCCGGAAGGUCAAGGGGAUGUGUAAGCGCAAGCGAAGCAUUGAACUUAAGCCCCGGUGAACGGCGGCCGUAA